UUUUGCGGACGUUGCUGUCGCGGUGACGUUACACGCUGCUUCUAGCUGCCGGGACUGCCCAAAAAUUGUCCAUUUGCAAAGACACAUGGUGGUGGAACUGUGUGAGCUGGCCUGUUAGUGCGAUCCGGAGGCAUCAAUGGCCGCAAGGACACAUGUCUCCUAAGUUUGUUCCUGCUUCUCUCUGAUGAUGCAAAAGAAAUUCCUGAAUUGAUGGAAUGAUCUUGAAAAUGGAGGUGAAGGAGCGCAGUGUCGGCAGAUUAGAUUUCAUGGUCUAUUUAAGCUGUGUGAGAAGACUGACCACUUCCAGUCAUACAUGGAUGCAAAAGAAGUUUCAGAAUUGAUGGAAUGAUCUUGAAAAUGGAGGUGAAGGAGCGCAGGGUCGGCAGAUUGGGUUUCAUGACGAGUCUGGAACUUCUAUUUAAGCUGUGUGAGAAGACUGACCACUUCCAGUCAUACAUGGAUGCAAAAGAAAUUCCUGAAUUGAUGGAAUGAUCUUGAAAAUGGAGGUGAAGGAGCGCAGGGUAUGCAGAUUGGGUUUCAUGGUCUAUUUAAGCUGUGUGAAAAGACUGACCACUUCCAGUCAUACAUGGAUGCAAAAGAAAUUCUUGAAUUGAUGGAAUGAUCUUGAAAAUGGAGGUGAAGGAGCGCAGGGUAUGCAGAUUGGGUUUCAUGGUGAGUCUGGAACUUCUAUUUAAGCUGUGUGAGAAGACUGACCACUUCCAGUCAUACAUGCAGUUCCAGUUCAAAGUGGAUAAUUGGUAACCGAAGACAUGGCACAAGUACUCCUAUAUGGUGUAGACUACAAAGACACCACUAUAAAUUAACAGAUGUCAGUUUGAAUAAAAUGUGUAUUGUUUUUUUAUGUGAACAGUUUAAUAAAGGUUAUGAACCUUU